rnacentral:sRNA from 1 species
GUGCUGGCCGAGCGCGGGGCGGGCAGGCGAGCGCGGCGGCGGCGGCGAGCGUGGACAGAAGUGGCGGUUGCUGACGCCUGGAAAUCCCCCUGAAGGUGGAGCACUACCCAACCCCCCUGGGUCCCACCCUCCCUCAAGGCCUCCUCCACCUCCACCUCCACCCCGCCUGGCCUGGCGUCCACCUCUUCGGCUCCUACCUGGGUGCAAUCGAGUUAAAUGGCUGAUAAGCAGAUCAGCCUGCCAGCCAAGCUCAUCAAUGGCGGCAUCGCCGGGCUGAUCGGUGUCACCUGCGUGUUUCCCAUCGACCUGGCCAAGACCAGGCUGCAGAACCAGCAGAACGGCCAGCGCGUGUACACCAGCAUGUCCGACUGCCUCAUCAAGACCGUCCGCUCCGAGGGCUACUUCGGCAUGUACCGGGGAGCUGCUGUGAACUUGACCCUCGUCACCCCUGAGAAGGCCAUCAAGCUGGCAGCCAACGACUUCUUCCGACAUCAGCUCUCUAAGGACGGGUGAGGGUCCUGCCUGGCAGACACUCGAGGGGUCUUUGGCUUCAGAUAAAG